rnacentral:rRNA from 1 species
CAAACCGACACUGGUGCGCGAGAUGAGUAUUCUAAGGCGCUUGAGAGAACUCAGGAGAAGGAACUCGGCAAAUUGACACCGUAACUUCGGAAGAAGGUGUGCCUUUAGUAGGUGAACCUGUACAUGGGGAGCCCAAUGAGGUUGCAAAAAAUCGGUGGCUGCGACUGUUUAAUAAAAACACAGCACUCUGCAAACACGAAAGUGGACGUAUAGGGUGUGACGCCUGCCCGGUGCUGGAAGAUUAAAUGAUGGGGUGCAAGCUCUUGAUUGAAGUCCCAGUAAACGGCGGCCGUAACUAUAACGGUCCUAAGGUAGCGAAAUUCCUUGUCGGGUAAGUUCCGACCUGCACGAAUGGCGUAACGAUGGCCACACUGUCUCCUCCUGAGACUCAGCGAAGUUGAAAUGUUUGUGAUGAUGCAAUCUCCCCGCGGAAAGACGGAAAGACCCCAUGAACCUUUACUGUAGCUUUGUAUUGGACUUUGAACAGAUCUGUGUAGGAUAGGUGGGAGGCUUUGAAGUGUGGUCGCUAGAUCGCAUGGAGCCAACGUUGAAAUACCACCCUGGUGUGUUUGAGGUUCUAACCUAGGCCCGUAAUCCGGGUCGGGGACAGUGCAUGGUAGGCAGUUUGACUGGGGCGGUCUCCUCCCAAAGCGUAACGGAGGAGUUCGAAGGUACGCUAGGUACGGUCGGACAUCGUGCUAAUAGUGCAAUGGCAUAAGCGUGCUUAACUGCGAGACUGACAAGUCGAGCAGAUGCGAAAGCAGGACAUAGUGAUCCGGUGGUUCUGUAUGGAAGGGCCAUCGCUCAACGGAUAAAAGGUACUCUGGGGAUAACAGGCUGAUACCGCCCAAGAGUUCAUAUCGACGGCGGUGUUUGGCACCUCGAUGUCGGCUCAUCUCAUCCUGGGGCUGUAGCCGGUCCCAAGGGUAUGGCUGUUCGCCAUUUAAAGAGGUACGUGAGCUGGGUUUAAAACGUCGUGAGACAGUUUGGUCCCUAUCUUCCGUGGGCGCUGCAGAUUUGAGGAAGCCUGCUCCUAGUACGAGAGGACCGGAGUGGACACACCUCUGGUGUAUCGGUUGUCACGCCAGUGGCAUUGCCGAGUAGCUAUGUGUGGAAGAGAUAACCGCUGAAAGCAUCUAAGCGGGAAACUCGUUUCAAGAUGAGAUCUGCCGGGGCCUUGAGCCCCCUAAAGAGUCGUUCAAGACCAGGACGUUGAUAGGUCGGGUGUGGAAGCGCAGUAAUGCGUUAAGCUAACCGAUACUAAUUGCUCGUGCGGCUUGACC